AACGAACGCUGGCGGCGUGGAUAAGACAUGCAAGUCGAACGGGAUAUUGCUUGUAGCAAUACAGGCGAUGUUCAGUGGCGAAAGGGUGCGUAACACGUGGGCAACCUGCCCGGAAGUGCGGGAUAGCUCGCCGAAAGGCGAAUUAAUACCGCAUGUGGCCAGGGAGAACUUCUCCCGAAGCCAAAGUCGGAGCAAUCUGACGCUUCUGGAUGGGCCCGCGGCCUAUCAGCUAGUUGGCGGGGUAACGGCCCACCAAGGCGAUGACGGGUAGCUGGUCUGAGAGGACGACCAGCCACACUGGAACUGAGACACGGUCCAGACACCUACGGGUGGCAGCAGUCGAGAAUUUUUCUCAAUGGGGGAAACCCUGAAGGAGCGACGCCGCGUGGAGGAUGAAGGUCUACGGAUUGUAAACUCCUGUCAUGCGAGAGCAACGCCAGCCGGUUAACUGCCGGUUGGUUUGAUAGUACCGCAAGAGGAAGAGACGGCUAACUCUGUGC
rnacentral:rRNA from 1 species